rnacentral:rRNA from 1 species
CGUGUGCUUACAAGUAGUCAGAGCCCGUUAAUGGGUGAUGGCGUGCCUUUUGUAGAAUGAACCGGCGAGUUACGAUUUGAUGCAAGGUUAAGCAGUAAAUGUGGAGCCGUAGCGAAAGCGAGUCUGAAUAGGGCGUUUAGUAUUUGGUCGUAGACCCGAAACCAGGUGAUCUACCCUUGGUCAGGUUGAAGUUCAGGUAACACUGAAUGGAGGACCGAACCGACUUACGUUGAAAAGUGAGCGGAUGAACUGAGGGUAGCGGAGAAAUUCCAAUCGAACCUGGAGAUAGCUGGUUCUCUCCGAAAUAGCUUUAGGGCUAGCCUCAAGUGAUGAUUAUUGGAGGUAGAGCACUGUUUGGACGAGGGGCCCCUCUCGGGUUACCGAAUUCAGACAAACUCCGAAUGCCAAUUAAUUUAACUUGGGAGUCAGAACAUGGGUGAUAAGGUCCGUGUUCGAAAGGGAAACAGCCCAGACCACCAGCUAAGGUCCCAAAAUAUAUGUUAAGUGGAAAAGGAUGUGGCGUUGCCCAGACAACUAGGAUGUUGGCUUAGAAGCAGCCAUCAUUUAAAGAGUGCGUAAUAGCUCACUAGUCGAGUGACACUGCGCCGAAAAUGUACCGGGGCUAAACAUAUUACCGAAGCUGUGGAUUGUCCUUUGGACAAUGGUAGGAGAGCGUUCUAAGGGCGUUGAAGCAUGAUCGUAAGGACAUGUGGAGCGCUUAGAAGUGAGAAUGCCGGUGUGAGUAGCGAAAGACGGGUGAGAAUCCCGUCCACCGAUUGACUAAGGUUUCCAGAGGAAGGCUCGUCCGCUCUGGGUUAGUCGGGUCCUAAGCUGAGGCCGACAGGCGUAGGCGAUGGAUAACAGGUUGAUAUUCCUGUACCACCUAUAAUCGUUUUAAUCGAUGGGGGGACGCAGUAGGAUAGGCGAAGCGUGCGAUUGGAUUGCACGUCUAAGCAGUAAGGCUGAGUAUUAGGCAAAUCCGGUACUCGUUAAGGCUGAGCUGUGAUGGGGAGAAGACAUUGAGUCUUCGAGUCGUUGAUUUCACACUGCCGAGAAAAGCCUCUAGAUAGAAAAUAGGUGCCCGUACCGCAAACCGACACAGGUAGUCAAGAUGAGAAUUCUAAGGUGAGCGAGCGAACUCUCGUUAAGGAACUCGGCAAAAUGACCCCGUAACUUCGGGAGAAGGGGUGCUCUUUAGGGUUAACGCCCAGAAGAGCCGCAGUGAAUAGGCCCAAGCGACUGUUUAUCAAAAACACAGGUCUCUGCUAAACCGUAAGGUGAUGUAUAGGGGCUGACGCCUGCCCGGUGCUGGAAGGUUAAGAGGAGUGGUUAGCUUCUGCGAAGCUACGAAUCGAAGCCCCAGUAAACGGCGGCCGUAACUAUAACGGUCCUAAGGUAGCGAAAUUCCUUGUCGGGUAAGUUCCGACCCGCACGAAAGGCGUAACGAUUUGGGCACUGUCUCAACGAGAGACUCGGUGAAAUCAUAGUACCUGUGAAGAUGCAGGUUACCCGCGACAGGACGGAAAGACCCCGUGGAGCUUUACUGUAGCCUGAUAUUGAAAUUCGGCACAGCUUGUACAGGAUAGGUAGGAGCCUUUGAAACGUGAGCGCUAGCUUACGUGGAGGCGCUGGUGGGAUACUACCCUAGCUGUGUUGGCUUUCUAACCCGCACCACUUAUCGUGGUGGGAGACAGUGUCAGGCGGGCAGUUUGACUGGGGCGGUCGCCUCCUAAAAGGUAACGGAGGCGCUCAAAGGUUCCCUCAGAAUGGUUGGAAAUCAUUCAUAGAGUGUAAAGGCAUAAGGGAGCUUGACUGCGAGACCUACAAGUCGAGCAGGGUCGAAAGACGGACUUAGUGAUCCGGUGGUUCCGCAUGGAAGGGCCAUCGCUCAACGGAUAAAAGCUACCCCGGGGAUAACAGGCUUAUCUCCCCCAAGAGUUCACAUCGACGGGGAGGUUUGGCACCUCGAUGUCGGCUCAUCGCAUCCUGGGGCUGUAGUCGGUCCCAAGGGUUGGGCUGUUCGCCCAUUAAAGCGGUACGCGAGCUGGGUUCAGAACGUCGUGAGACAGUUCGGUCCCUAUCCGUCGUGGGCGUAGGAAAUUUGAGAGGAGCUGUCCUUAGUACGAGAGGACCGGGAUGGACAUACCUCUGGUGUACCAGUUGUCGUGCCAACGGCAUAGCUGGGUAGCUAUGUGUGGACGGGAUAAGUGCUGAAAGCAUCUAAGCAUGAAGCCCCCCUCAAGAUGAGAUUUCCCAACUUCGGUUAUAAGAUCCCUCAAAGAUGAUGAGGUUAAUAGGUUCGAGGUGGAAGCAUGGUGACAUGUGGAGCUGACGAAUACUAAUCGAUCGAAGACUUAAUCAA